CGGCGUGCUUAACACAUGCAAGUCGAACGCGAAAGGGACUUCGGUCCUGAGUAAAGUGGCGCACGGGUGAGUAACGCGUAGAUAACCUGUCUUCAUGUCUGGAAUAAUACGCCGAAAGGGGUACUAAUACCGGAUAUUCUUGCUUUUCAUAAGUUAUGCAAGCAAAGGUGGCCUCUGCAUAUGCUACUGCAUGAAGAGGGGUCUGCGUACCAUUAGCUAGUAGGUGGGGUAAUGGCCUACCUAGGCGACGAUGGUUAGCGGGUCUGAGAGGAUGAUCCGCCACACUGGCACUGGAACACGGGCCAGACUCCUACGGGAGGCAGCAGUGAGGAAUAUUGCGCAAUGGGGGAAACCCUGACGCAGCGACGCCGCGUGAGUGAGGAAAGGCCUUCGGGUCGUAAAGCUCUGUCAAGAGGAAAGAAGUGUACAAUGGCUAAUACCUGUUGUAUUUGACGGUACCUCUAAAGGAAGCACCGGCUAACUCCGUGCCAGCAGCAGC
rnacentral:rRNA from 1 species